UCUGGUAAUGAUGGCAGAGAGGUCACACCCGUUCCCAUACCGAACACGGAAGUUAAGCUCUCUAGCGCCGAUGGUAGUUGAGACCUUGUCCCUGUGAGAGUAGGACGUUGCCAGGC
rnacentral:rRNA from 3 species